rnacentral:rRNA from 1 species
UACGUAGGGUGCAAGCGUUAAUCGGAAUUACUGGGCGUAAAGCGUGCGCAGGCGGUUUUGUAAGUCUGACGUGAAAUCCCCGGGCUCAACCUGGGAAUUGCGUUGGAGACUGCAAGGCUAGAAUCUGGCAGAGGGGGGUAGAAUUCCACGUGUAGCAGUGAAAUGCGUAGAGAUGUGGAGGAACACCGAUGGCGAAGGCAGCCCCCUGGGUCAAGAUUGACGCUCA